rnacentral:rRNA from 1 species
UACGUAGGGGGCAAGCGUUGUCCGGAUUUAUUGGGCGUAAAGAGCUUGUAGGCGGUUUGUCGCGUCUGCUGUGAAAAUCCGGGGCUCAACCCCGGACUUGCAGUGGGUACGGGCAGACUAGAGUGUGGUAGGGGAGACUGGAAUUCCUGGUGUAGCGGUGAAAUGCGCAGAUAUCAGGAGGAACACCGAUGGCGAAGGCAGGUCUCUGGGCAUUAACUGACGCUGAGGAGCGAAAGCAUGGGGAGCGAACAGG